rnacentral:rRNA from 1 species
GUGCCAGACUCCUACGGGAGGCAGCAGUGGGGAAUAUUGCACAAUGGGGGGAACCCUGAUGCAGCGAAGCCGCGUGGGCGAGGAAGUAUUUCGGUAUGUAAAGCCCUAUCGGCAGGGAAGAAGAAAUGACGGUACCUGACUAAGAAGCCCCGGCUAACUACGUGCCAGAAGCCGCGGUAAUACGUAGGGGGCAAGCGUUAUCCGGAUUUACUGGGUGUAAAGGGGGCGCAGACGGCCAUGGCAAGCCCGGUGUGAAAGGCAGGGGCAUAACCCCUGGACUGCACUGGGAACUGUCAGGCUGGAGUGCCGGAGGGGUAAGCGGAAUUCCUGGUGUAGCGGUGAAAUGCGUAGAUAUCAGGAGGAACACCGGCGGCGAAGGCGGCCUGCUGGACCGCGACUGACGUUGAGGCUCGAAAGCGUGGGGAGCGAACAGGAUUAGAUACCCCCGUAC